rfam:Myotis brandtii contig200311, whole genome shotgun sequence.
GCCAGUGUGGCUCAAUGGUAGAGCGCUGGCCCGCACACCAAAGGCUCUCAGGUUUGAUUCCUGGUCAAGGGCA